rnacentral:rRNA from 1 species
UACGUAGGGUGCGAGCGUUGUCCGGAAUUAUUGGGCGUAAAGAGCUCGUAGGCGGUGUGUCACGUCGGCCGUGAAAACCUGCAGCUUAACUGUGGGCGUGCGGUUGAUACGGGCGGGCUAGAGUUCGGUAGGGGAGACUGGAAUUCCAGGUGUAGCGGUGAAAUGCGUAGAUAUCUGGAGGAACACCGGUGGCGAAGGCGGCAUCCUGGACCGAUACUGACGCUGAGGAGCGAAAGCCAGGGGAGCAAACGGG